AACGAACGCUGGCGGCAUGCCUAACACAUGCAAGUCGAACGGAACCUUCGGGUCUAGUGGCGCACGGGUGCGUAACGCGUGGGAACCUGCCCUUAGGUUCGGAAUCACUCCCCGUAAGGGGUGCUAAUACCGGAUAAUGUCUUCGGACCAAAGAUUUAUCGCCUUUGGAUGGGCCCGCGUUGGAUUAGCUAGUUGGUAGGGUAAAAGCCUACCAAGGCCACGAUGCAUAGCUGGUCUGAGAGCAUGAUCAGCCACACUGGGACUGAGACACGGCCCAGAAUCGUACGGGAGGCAGCAGUGGGUAAUAUAGGACAAUGGGGGAAAGCCUGAUACAGCAAUGCCGCGUGAGUGAUGAAGGGCUUAGGGUUGUAAAGCUCUUUUACACGGGAUGAUAAUGACAGUACCGGGAGAAUAAGCACCGGCUAACUCCGUG
rnacentral:rRNA from 1 species